UGAGGGUUGCUGGAGGUAUCAGAAGUGCGAAUGCUGACAUAAGUAACGAUAAAGCGGGUGAAAAGCCCGCUCGCCGGAAGACCAAGGGUUCCUGUCCAACGUUAAUCGGGGCAGGGUGAGUCGACCCCUAAGGCGAGGCCGAAAGGCGUAGUCGAUGGGAAACGGGUUAAUAUUCCCGUACUUGGUGUUACUGCGAAGGGGGGACGGAGAAGGCUAUGUUGGCCGGGCGACGGUUGUCCCGGUUUAAGCGUGUAGGUGUGUGUUCCAGGUAAAUCCGGUUCACUUUAACACUGAGGCGUGACGACGAGGCACUACGGUGCUGAAGCAACAAAUGCCCUGCUUCCAGGAAAAGCCUCUAAGCAUCAGGUAACAUCAAAUCGUACCCCAAACCGACACAGGUGGUCAGGUAGAGAAUACCAAGGCGCUUGAGAGAACUCGGGUGAAGGAACUAGGCAAAAUGGUGCCGUAACUUCGGGAGAAGGCACGCUGACACGUAGGUGAAGUGAUUUACUCAUGGAGCUGAAGUCAGUCGAAGAUACCAGCUGGCUGCAACUGUUUAUUAAAAACACAGCACUGUGCAAACACGAAAGUGGACGUAUACGGUGUGACGCCUGCCCGGUGCCGGAAGGUUAAUUGAUGGGGUCAGCGCAAGCGAAGCUCCUGAUCGAAGCCCCGGUAAACGGCGGCCGUAACUAUAACGGUCCUAAGGUAGCGAAAUUCCUUGUCGGGUAAGUUCCGACCUGCACGAAUGGCGUAAUGAUGGCCAGGCUGUCUCCACCCGAGACUCAGUGAAAUUGAACUCGCUGUGAAGAUGCAGUGUACCCGCGGCAAGACGGAAAGACCCCGUGAACCUUUACUAUAGCUUGACACUGAACAUUGAGCCUUGAUGUGUAGGAUAGGUGGGAG
rnacentral:rRNA from 1 species